GGAAGUUAAUAAACUGUUUCUUAACUUUUAAUUAAAAAAGGUAAGAACCGGUUCUUAAAUAAGGAUUUUAAGAACCGGUUCUUAGCUUUUUUAGUUAAAAGUUAAGAAUCAAUUUCUUAACUUCC
rfam:Brassica napus, WGS project CCCW01000000 data, contig: 12292